CGAACGGCUGGCGGCGCGUUUAAGCAUGCAAGUCGAGCGGUAAGCCGGAGCAAUCCGGCCUAGAGCGGCGGACGGGUGAGUAACACGUGGAUAAUCUGGCCUACAGUUUGGGAUAGCCUGGUGAAAGUCAGGAUAAUACCGGAUACGACGGUUUGGUCACAAGACUGAAUCGGGAAAGGGGCUAAGGCCUCGCUGAAGGAUGAGUCCGCGUCCCAUUAGCUAGAUGGUGAGGUAAAGGCCCACCAUGGCGAUGAUGGGUAGCCGGCCUAAGAGGGUGAACGGCCACAUUGGGACUGAGAUACGGCCCAGACUCCUACGGGAGGCAGCAGCUAAGAAUCUUCCGCAAUGGUCGAAAGACUGACGGAGCGACGCCGCGUGAAUGAAUGAAGGCCGUGAGGUUGUAAAGUUCUUUUCUGGAGGGAGAAUAAGUGGUGUAGGGAAUGACACCAUGAUGACGUGAAUCCAGGAAUAAGCCCCGGCUAACUACGUGCCAGCCGCGGC
rnacentral:rRNA from 1 species